rnacentral:pre_miRNA from 1 species
UCUUAUGGAUGAGUAAAGGAAGUAUUUCUUCAGAUGCAAUCUACUCCUGGUGAAAAUGCUGUGAA